rnacentral:rRNA from 1 species
CCUACGGGAGGCAGCAGUCGGGAAUAUUGCGCAAUGGAGGAAACUCUGACGCAGUGACGCCGCGUGCAGGAAGAAGGUUUUCGGAUCGUAAACCUCUGUCAGCAGGGAAGAACGGUCACUGUGCUAAUCAGCAGUGAAUUGACGGUACCUGCAAAGGAAGCACCGGCUAACUCCGUGCCAGCAGCCGCGGUAAUACGGAGGGUGCGAGCGUUAAUCGGAAUGACUGGGCGUAAAGCGCUCGUAGGCGGUAUGUCAAGUCAAGGGUGAAAUCCCCGCGCUCAACGUGGGAACUGCCUUUGAAACUGGCAAACUGGGGUGUGUGAGAGGAUAGUGGAAUUUCAGGUGUAGGAGUGAAAUCCGUAGAUAUCUGGAGGAACAUCAGUGGCGAAGGCGACUAUCUGGCACAUAACUGACGCUGAGGAGCGAAAGCGUGGGUAGCAAACAGGAUUAGAUACCCGUGUAGUC